ACGUGGGGAACUGAAACAUCUAAGUACCCAUAGGAGAAGAAAACAAUAGUGAUUUCCUGAGUAGCGGCGAGCGAAACGGAAUUAGCCCAAACCAAUGACGUUUCGGCGUUAUUGGGGUUGUAGGACCACGACAUACAAAGGUAAUUAUAGAGGAAUGCUUUGGGAAGAGCAACCAUAGAGAGUGAUAGUCUCGUACUUUAAAUAAGAACUGGCGUUAGUGGUAUCCUGAGUAGGGCGGGACACGAGUAAUCCUGCUUGAAUCUGCCAGGACCAUCUGGUAAGGCUAAAUACUCCUGAGAGACCGAUAGUGAACAAGUACCGUGAGGGAAAGGUGAAAAGUACCGUGAAUAACGGGGUGAAAUAGAACCUGAAACCGUGCACUUACAAUCUGAGGGAGCCCUUUGGGGUGACCUCGUGCCUUUUGCAUAAUGAGCCUACGAGUUACUCAUCACUAGCAAGGUUAAAAUUUUAAGAAUUGGAUCCGAAGCGAAAGCGAGUCUGAAUAGGGCGCUUAAGUUAGUGGUGGUAGACGCGAAACCCUGUGAUCUAUCCAUGGUCAGGUUGAAGUCUCGGUAACACGAGAUGGAGGACCGAACCAAUAUACGUUGAAAAGUGUUUGGAUGAACUGUGGAUAGG
rnacentral:rRNA from 1 species